GUGCCAGCCGCCGCGGUAAUACCGGCAGCACGAGUGAUGGCCGAUCUUAUUGGGCCUAAAGCGUCCGUAGCCGGCCGGACAAGUCCGUUGGGAAAUCCACGCGCUCAACGCGUGGGCGUCCAGCGGAAACUGUCCGGCUUGGGGCCGGAAGACCUGAGGGGUACGUCCGGGGUAGGAGUGAAAUCCUGUAAUCCUGGACGGACCGCCGGUGGCGAAAGCGCCUCAGGAAGACGGACCCGACGGUGAGGGACGAAAGCUAGGGUCUCGAACCGGAUUAGAUACCCGAGUAGUCC
rnacentral:rRNA from 1 species